GAGUGUAUAGCUCAAGUGGUAGAGUGCAUGUUUAGCAUGCAUGAGGUCCUGGGUUCAAUCCCCAGUACCUUCA
rnacentral:tRNA from 1 species